UAUUGGGCAAUGGGCGCAAGCCUGACCCAGCAACGCCGCGUGAGGGAAGAAGGUCUUCGGAUUGUAAACCUCUUUCAGCAGGGAAGAAGAAAGUGACGGUACCUGCAGAAGAAGUCACGGCUAACUACGUGCCAGCAGCCGCGGUAAUACGUAGGUGGCGAGCGUUAUCCGGAAUUACUGGGUGUAAAGGGUGUGUAGGCGGGAGUGCAAGUCAGACGUGAAAUCCCGCGGCUCAACCGCGGAACUGCGUUUGAAACUGUAGAUCUUGAGUACUGGAGAGGCAGGCGGAAUUCCUAGUGUAGCGGUGAAAUGCGUAGAUAUUAGGAGGAACACCAGUGGCGAAGGCGGCCUGCCGGACAGCAACUGACGGUGAGGCGCGAAAGCGUGGGGAGCAAACAGGA
rnacentral:rRNA from 1 species